rnacentral:rRNA from 1 species
GUAGGGAAUAUUGGGCAAUGGAGGCAACUCUGACCCAGCCAUGCCGCGUGCAGGAUGACGGCCCUCUGGGUUUUAAACUGCUUUUAUACGGGAAGAAAAAAUAGUACGUGUAGUAUACUGACGGUACCGUAAGAAUAAGGAUCGGCUAACUCCGUGCCAGCAGCCGCGGUAAUACGGAGGAUCCAAGCGUUGUCCGGAUUUAUUGGGUUUAAAGGGUGCGUAGGCGGAUCGUUAAGUCAGUGGUGAGAGCCUGCAGCUUAACUGUAGAAUUGCCAUUGAAACUGAAGAUCUUGAAUGUGGUUAAAGUAUGCGGAAUGUAUCAUGUAGCUGUGAAAUGCUUAGAUAUGAUACAGAACACCGAUAGCGAAGGCAGCUUGCUGAACCAUUAUUGACGCUGAGGCACGAAAGCGUGGGGAGCGAACAGGAUUAGAAACCCUAGUAGUCC